UGGGGAAUUUUGGACAAUGGGGGAAACCCUGAUCCAGCCAUCCCGCGUGUGCGAUGAAGGCCUUCGGGUUGUAAAGCACUUUUGGCAGGAAAGAAACGUCAUGGGUUAUUACCCCGUGAAACUGACGGUACCUGCAGAAUAAGCACCGGCUAACUACGUGCCAGCAGCCGCGGUAAUACGUAGGGUGCAAGCGUUAAUCGGAAUUACUGGGCGUAAAGCGUGCGCAGGCGGUUCGGAAAGAAAGAUGUGAAAUCCCAGAGCUCAACUUUGGAACUGCAUUUUUAACUACCGGGCUAGAGUGUGUCAGAGGGAGGUGGAAUUCCGCGUGUAGCAGUGAAAUGCGUAGAUAUGCGGAGGAACACCGAUGGCGAAGGCAGCCUCCUGGGAUAACACUGACGCUCAUGCACGAAAGCGUGGGGAGCAAACAGG
rnacentral:rRNA from 1 species